CUCCAAAGGUGAAUUCUCAGCUAUUGUCAACUUAAUAAAAGCACUCAGCUCGGGAGUCAUUAUUGCUUGCUCUGAACAGAACCACCAGCGCGUUCACAUCCAGAACUUUGUAUUGAUUGUCGUUUUUCACAUCUAUAGGAUUUACUGUUUAUAAUGAAGAAUCUGAGAGUUGAAAGACUUUGAACCACAUUCAGAACUUUUACUAGAGCAGGCUCAUCAAGUAAAAAAAAAAAAAAAAUCGACAAUCCUUCUCACAUGCGGCUUCAAAUUUGUCUGUAUAAGAAAACCAUUCCCUGCUCUCCACCAAUAUUGUAUACCACCGCCUAAUCCAUGCAGACAGCACGGGAUGUCCCAUAACUGUCCCCAGAGCAUCAGCCAAGACACCACAGUAGAUGACAGCAUUCAGAGUUUACAAAAGGCAUGACUUCCAGGCUUGUAGACGAAGCUUUAGGAGACUUCCCAUGGGAAAGAGAAGUUUAAUGACUGAAACAUAAGGAGUCCAGAGGAGAUACAUCAACGUGUGGAGAAGGCAGCCUGACAGGAGCUACAAUCUUCCAAAGGGGUCUGCAACUAAACCACGGAGACCAGGACCGGAAGAUGAGAGAAUUAAUAGCCAAGCUCACACUCCUCCCUCGCCCUCUGUGGUUCUUGCCUGGGAAAAGCAGGAGUCCUCCUAAGGCACAUCUGGUCUCGGUGGUGGUGGUGGAAAGAGGUGGGGGGGGGGGGGGAUCAUCCACAGGUGCUAAUGGGAUUCCGACGCCACCUGCAACUUCCUAUUUUCUUCACGUUAGUCAGAGGCUAUAAUCUGGACCAGGCCUCUGAAAACUUGGAAAGAGUAAGCUUUCUCGACCUCCAAAGCCUGACUCUGCUUUCUAAAGAUUUUGAACAGAAAUUCGAAUUCACGUGGUCAUGAUGUCUAGUGAUGAGACAAGCACAUUGACCUUCUCAGUUACAGCAUGAAACAGGUAAUAACUUGGAAAAACUGCCCAUAAUGAUCCUUGGGUCUGUACUUGAGGUUUUACUGACACCUGGCUGCCUGUAAUUAUCGAAGCCAACACAAAUUUCACAGCGCUGACUUGAGUGUGCAAAAAUGUAAUUUUCUCUAUUUUCCUAUAAUUGAGUGUAAUUUCUUCCCCCUGAGUCUCUGUUCUGCCUCAAAGCAGAGAAAAUUUAAUCUAGCUACUUUCAGAUAAACUUCUUCAAACACA